rnacentral:rRNA from 1 species
GCGCCACAAGUCCAGGCUGUGAAUCGUCAUUCGUGUCGAAUUGUGGAAUGCCGGAAGGUUUGUCCAAGUAGUGCACCAAGUCCUCUGGAAUGGGGCAGCUUAGAGGGUGAUACUCCCGUGAGUGCCUAACUGUGAAAGCCUUUCCAAGAGUCGAGUUGUUUGGGAUUGCAGCUCUAAGUGGUUGGUAAAUUCCAUCCAAGACUAAAUACUGGUGGGAGACCGAUAGCGUACAAGUACCGUGAGGGAAAGAUGCAAAGCCGCGCGAGAGCGCUGUCAAAGAGUACCUGAAAUUGCUGAAAAGGAAGCGAAGGAAACCAGUGUUAGCCAACCUGCACUUCCCCAAUGGCUUGCCUUUGGGGCGC